rnacentral:misc_RNA from 1 species
GAUGAAGAACGUAGCGAAAUGCGAUACUUGGUGUGAAUUGCAGAAUCCCGUGAACCAUCGAGUCUUUGAACGCAAGUUGCGCCCGAAGCCAUUAGGCCGAGGGCACGCCUGCCUGGGUGUCACACACCGUUACCCUCGCGCCAACGUCCAUCGUUGGCCGCGGCGCGGGGCGUGCGCUGACCUCCCGCGAGCGGGGUCUCGUGGUUGGUUGAAAAUCGAGUUCGCGGUCGAGGGUGCCGUGAUGAAAUGGUGGAUGGGCGACGCCCGAGGCCAAUCACGCGCGACUCUGUCCGGGUCGGACUCCUGGGCCCCUUCGGCGUCUCCGGACGCUCUUUGGCGAGACCUCAGGUCAGGCGGGGCUACCCGCUGAGUUUAAGCAUAUCAAUAAGCGGAGGA